rnacentral:snoRNA from 1 species
ACCCCCUGGCAAUGGGCAAGAAGACCCUGAUUGGUAGUGUUGUUCUUAUAUCAAUCAGGGGCAAAGCAGAUGUACAGUCCUUAGUUCAACCUAGCUUGAUGCCUGUGUUGGUGGCCAGAGCUGGUUCAUGCCUGAGGCACAUAA